rnacentral:rRNA from 1 species
GGUCAAGCGAACAAGUGCAUGUGGUGGAUGCCUUGGCGAUCACAGGCGAUGAAGGACGCGGUAGCCUGCGAAAAGCUUCGGGGAGCUGGCAAACGAGCUUUGAUCCGAAGAUGUCCGAAUGGGGAAACCCACCUCUUCUGAGGUAUCCGUGACUGAAUCCAUAGGUCACGUGAAGCGAACGCGGUGAACUGAAACAUCUAAGUAACCGCAGGAAAAGAAAUCAACCGAGAUUCCCAAAGUAGUGGCGAGCGAAAUGGGACCAGCCUGUACUCUUUAUCUUCGCUGUUAGUCGAACGCUCUGGAAAGUGCGGCCAUAGCAGGUGAUAGCCCUGUAGACGAAAACAGUGAGGAAGAACUAGGUGUACGACAAGUAGGGCGGGACACGUGAAAUCCUGUCUGAAGAUGGGGGGACCAUCCUCCAAGGCUAAAUACUCGUGAUCGACCGAUAGUGAACCAGUACCGUGAGGGAAAGGCGAAAAGAACCCCGGGAGGGGAGUGAAACAGAUCCUGAAACCGCAUGCAUACAAACAGUCGGAGCCUCGCAAGGGGUGACGGCGUACCUUUUGUAUAAUGGGUCAGCGACUUACAUUCAGUGGCAAGCUUAACCGAUUAGGGCAGGCGUAGCGAAAGCGAGUCCGAACAGGGCGUCCAGUCGCUGGGUGUAGACCCGAAACCAGGUGAUCUAUCCAUGGCCAGGAUGAAGGUGCGGUAACACGUACUGGAGGUCCGAACCCACUAACGUUGAAAAGUUAGGGGAUGAGCUGUGGAUAGGGGUGAAAGGCUAAACAAACCUGGAAAUAGCUGGUUCUCUCCGAAAACUAUUUAGGUAGUGCCUCGUGUCUCACCUUCGGGGGUAGAGCACUGUCAUGGUUGUGGGGUCCAUUGCGGAUUACUACGCCAUAGCAAACUCCGAAUACCGAAGAGUGCAAUCACGGGAGACAGACAUCGGGUGCUAACGUCCGGUGUCAAGAGGGAAACAACCCAGACCGCCAGCUAAGGUCCCCAAAUAUGGCUAAGUGGGAAACGAAGUGGGAAGGCUAAAACAGUCAGGAGGUUGGCUUAGAAGCAGCCAUCCUUUAAAGAAAGCGUAAUAGCUCACUGAUCGAGUCGUCCUGCGCGGAAGAUGUAACGGGGCUAAGCCAUAUACCGAAGCUGCGGAUGCA